rnacentral:lncRNA from 1 species
CAGCCCACACAUUUUGCAGAAACAAGAGAGUGAAGCCCAUCAAGUGCUUACCAAAUUUACAUCAAAAGCAAAAAAGAGUUUUAUCAUUUGGACUCUAUCGAAGUCACGUGUCAAACUGAGAUUACUACUGCAAUACAUGUUGAUGAGUCAUCAAGAAGUGUACCGACAUCAACCAUUGCUGUUGAGCACCAAUUCCGGUAGCGAAUGCAUCGCCGA